rnacentral:rRNA from 1 species
GAUGAACGCUAGCGGCAGGCCUAACACAUGCAGGUCGAGGGGCAGCACAGAAACAGCAAUGUUUUGGUGGCGACCGGCGGACGGGUGCGUAACGCGUAUGCAACCUACCUUUAACAGGGGGAUAACGGAGAGAAAUUUCCACUAAUACCCCAUAACAUCGAUCAAGGCAUCUUGAUUGGUUGAAAACUCCGGUGGUUAAAGAUGGGCAUGCGUUGUAUUAGGUAGUUGGUGAGGUAAUGGCUCACCAAGCCUACGAUACAUAGGGGGACUGAGAGGUUAGCCCCCCACACUGGUACUGAGACACGGACCAGACUCCUACGGGAGGCAGCAGUGAGGAGUAUUGGUCAAUGGGGGCAACCCUGAACCAGCCAUGCCGCGUGCAGGAAGACGGCUCUAUGAGUUGUAAACUGCUUUUAAACAGGGAUAAAGCACAGUAUGUAUACUGUGUUGAAGGUACUGUAAGAAUAAGGAUCGGCUAACUCCGUGCCAGCCGCCGCAGUAA